GCAGCCGCGGUAAUUCCAGCUCCAAUAGCGUAUAUUUAAGUUGUUGCAGUUAAAAAGCUCGUAGUUGAACCUUGGGCCUGGCUGGCCGGUCCGCCUCACCGCGUGUACUGGUCCGGCCGGGCCUUUCCUUCUGGGGAACCUCAUGCCCUUCACUGGGCGUGUUGGGGAACCAGGACUUUUACUUUGAAAAAAUUAGAGUGUUCAAAGCAGGCAUAUGCCCGAAUACAUUAGCAUGGAAUAAUAAAAUAGGACGCGCUGUUCUAUUUUGUUGGUUUCUAGGACCGCCGUAAUGAUUAAUAGGGAUAGUCGGGGGCAUCAGUAUUC
rnacentral:rRNA from 12 species